ACGUUCGGAUUNUAGUCUGCAACCCGACUACAUGAAGCUGGAAUCGCUAGUAAUCGCGGAUCAGAAUGCCGCGGUGAAUACGUUCCCGGGUCUUGUACACACCGCCCGUCACACCAUGGGAGUCGGAAAUGCCCGAAGUCUGUGACCCAACCUGAGAAGGAGGGAGCAGCCGAAGGCAGGUCGGAUGACUGGGGUGAAGUCGUAACAAGGUAGC
rnacentral:rRNA from 1 species